AAGGGCACCACAAGAACGCGUGGAGCAUGUGGCUUAAUUUGACUCAACGCGGGAAAUCUUACCGGGUCCGGACACACUGAGGAUUGACAGGCGAUUGUGGUUUCUCCCUUGUUGGAGUUUCCACUAUAAAUAUGCUAGUCCUUUCAUGAUUGUGUGAUAGGUGGUGCAUGGCCGUUCUUAGUUCGUGGAGUGAUCUGUCUGCUUAAUUGCGUUUCACAGAGGGCUCUUUAAUUUCUAUCUGUUGCGCAGCACCUCGUUGUGUUUGUCGCACGGUAGAUCAAAAAGCCCUGAAGGCAACGAACGUGACCGCAACCUCUUGUUGCCUCCUUUUUUAUAAAACAUGGUUGUCUGGUUAACUUCGGUUCCAGGCUUCCUGCACGGAGUUUUUGCAAACUAGAGGGACCGCUGACAACUUUUAAAACAGAGGAAGGUUGCGGCAAUAACAGGUCUGUGAUGCCCUUAGAUGUUCCGGGCUGCACACGUGCUACAAUGAUUAUUGCAGUGAGCAUCUAAUUUUACUAAGACUCGAGUUUGUGUUUAGUGCUUCGGUACUUUACACAGCUCGGUCACCGACCUACUUCGAAAGUAAGUAGGUAAUCAAUUCGAAGUAAUGAUUUCCUUUUCGCACAUACUUAUAUCCCAUGCUUGCAUCCGUGCUCUUGGCUUGUCCUUGAGUAUUGUUUGGUGCCUGGGAUAUGUGCUCCAUUAAUUCAUGGUGGGGACAGACCAUUGUUAAUUGUUGGUCUCGGUCUCAACUAGGAAUGCCUUGUACGGGUCCUUGGUUCAACAAACCACCCGGAAUAUGUCCCUGCCCUUUGUACACACCGCCCGUCGCUCUUACCGAUGGACUUCUCUGUGAGUAUAGAGGACUGGCUAGCUAUUUAUAGCAAGCUAUGGAAAUCUACGCGAACAGCGAGGUCUAAAGGAAAGAGAAGUCGAACAAGGCA
rnacentral:rRNA from 1 species